AUACGGAGGGUGCAAGCGUUAUCCGGAUUUAUUGGGUUUAAAGGGUCCGUAGGCGGAUCUGUAAGUCAGUGAUGAAAUCUCAUAGCUUAACUAUGAAACUGCCAUUGAUACUGCAGGUCUUGAGUAAGGUAGAAGUAGCUGGAAUAAGUAGUGUAGCGGUGAAAUGCAUAGAUAUUACUUAGAACACCAAUUGCGAAGGCAGGUUACUAUGUCUUAACUGACGCUGAUGGACGAAAGCGUGGGGAGCGAACAGGAUUAGAAACCCUAGUAGUCC
rnacentral:rRNA from 1 species